CGUAAUCCUGUAUGGGACUCCACAAUUGUUUGCCUCCAUGCAUUCAGCUGGGCCCUAUCAGUGCAGAAGGACUGGAUGAGCUCAGCAAACAUGUCUUCCCAAGUUGGUUUUUCCUGCCUUCU